UUACUGACUUAAUUUAUUCAGUCUAUGUACAUUGAAGCAUUAGAAUUUCAGGAACAUUUUAAGGUUAUGUUAAUAGCUCUUUAUCCUAGCAUCUUCAUAAUCUUUUGUGGAGAUAAAAAAUUUAAAUUUUUUUAAUAAUCCUAUAUUUUCUGAUUUAAAAAGUUUUAGGUGAAAGGAGUUUGUUUAAUAGAUUAGUAAAAACAAAAAUAAAAAAAAAACUCCUCAUAGGUGAAUCAGGGUAGAGAGUAACUAGUUUGUAGCUACAGUAGGACAGUUGAGCCUGACUUGGUAAUGCUAGAAGUGUGGCUGCUCCAGUUAUUAGUCCGGAAGGCUAAAUCCAAAGUUUCCAAGAAUUAGGUCUGCAGAAGUGCUAACCAAACUUAAUCCUCUCAAAAACUGAGAAGGACAUGCCUACCCAUAUUUCAUAGAUGAAGAAUCUGGGACUCAAGACAAUUCAGACAAGGAGUCAUGAUGCUUUUCCUUUAACUAACACUAAACAAAAGUUUCAGAUCUUUCUGUAAAGAUUUAUAACACUGGUGCCUCUCAGUUGCUGGGUGUCAUACGCUUAUGCUAUCUCAAUGGUUUUAGGCAAAUAGCAUUUUUUUGUGUGUGAUGCUGGAAAUUGAAUCCAGAGCAUUCUACGUAUUAAGCAAGUAUUAAUAGCCUGGAAAGCUGCAUUUUUUAGUUCCAUGAGAAAUAUUGGUGGUACAGAGGUACAGUUUGUAAUGUAAAACCAGUAAGAUGUAAGAAUUCAAUACAACCUCUUCCCUUCCUCCAAGGCCAUAGCUUUUUUUUUUAGGUAGUAUUUGAUUGAGAUAUGUAGCUCAGGUUAUGAUGACAGUAAUUUCCUACCUAUAUGUUAUUAGAAAGUGGUGGUUAGGUUAUGAAAAAUGACACAGCCACUGGGAGAAAUAUGUACUUAUGGUCUACCUUAAUCUUGCAAAAUCUAAAUGUGUUUCUGUUCUCCUAAAUUCUCCGGAGACCGCAUUUUUCCGAAGGUUUUCUUUGGCUUCCUUUCAGAUAUUAUGUUGGAGGAUAAAUGGAAAUAGUGGUCAUUUUUUCAAAAGAGCCUAAACAGAUACACAAGCACUGUAAACAAUGGAAGAAAUUUGUGGAUGGGUAUGGGAAAAAACUAUUAAAGAAUAAUUUUCUGUAUAGAGUUCAAUCUUUGAAUAAUUAUAGUAAAUUCCACUUUGAUUUUAAAAUUUGCUUUUUUUUUCCUCUAAAAAUAUGACCAAAUCCAGAGAAUUAUGUGUCCAGAUUCCUCUAAGGAGUGAUAUGAAUCCAACACCCACAAUUUUGUGUUAUUAACGUAUUUUACUCUUUUUUUUCUGAUAAGCUUGCUAAAGAUAAUUUAGAACUUCACAUGGAAUAGACAGUACAUCCAAAAUCUUGUCAACUUUGCAUUAAAUUCAAGAAAGUUUUGUUUUUUGUCAUCACUUUAUGGAUAUUGAUAAUAUGCUUUUGUUUUCUAAAAGCAAAUCCAAAUCAAAAGCACCAACAUUGCUUUUUUUAAAUUUUUUUCAUCAAUGUGAACAUCUUUAUUGCCACAUUUCAAAACUCUGCUGGGACUGAUUUAAUAGUUCUUGUUAUGUUGCAUAUUUUUUGUGUUUCUGGUAUGAUUGUGCUGUGUGAUAAAUAAUUACUCAGCAUUUAUUUUGCACUGCCAUCUGGGUUUGCUCAGAAUUAGAACCUCUUGCAUUUGCCUCUUAGCGACGUUCCAGCAGUGGACCAUGGUCUGCUGUUUGCUGUAUUACCACUUUAGGUCAUGCUUUUCUUACUGUUCCCAAACUUCCAACUUUGCUCUGCUUUCAUAGCAGUUGAUUUGUAUCACUUACCCCAGUCUUAGUGAACAUAUCUUCAUUGCCCCAAAUAAAGUGUUUUAUUUGCCUAUUGUAAGGGUCUGGACUUGACACCAGGCCAUGUACCCUCUAUUCUACAAUAUACUCUUCUAAAUCUCAUGUGAACUGAUUUUUUAUUGGUUUGGAGUUAAUUAACCCCAAAGUGUGUGUUUCCUUAGCCUUAAUAUUCAACAAAUCCCUUGGAUUAUUGUGACUUUAAAAAGUUUUGAAGUUUUGGAAGAAAGACAGUAUUUAAAUUAUUUCAUAUUUCCUGUGUGAGAGAUUUUUUUGUAAUUAGUGCAGCUCGGUAGUUGCUAGAGGCUUUUGAACUGCUGUGUCUCAAAACAAACUACCAAACUAUUAUUGUUGUGUUUGACUUCUACUUAAGACAGAUCCAGAGGAUCUUUGGAGAGUAGGAACCAGGACGUUAUGUGACGUACAAACUCUUCAACAUUUGCAGCUGUGUUCAACACUAUGCUUUCAAUUGUUGCCUUGUGUCUGCUGGGACCUAAAAAUUCCCUAUCCCAUGCAAUCUGAUGAUAGAGCUUCUAAUUAGUUGGGGGAGAAAAAACAGUAAGCGCAGAGCACAAUCAUGAAUGUAGUGUAGACUUUCAGAAACCAGCAUCUGCACUGUGAAAACUUGAUCAGAGAAUGGGCUGCCACAGGUUUUGCUUCACAAGCUGUUGUUUUGUUGGUACUUUGAUAGUCACUGUCAAGUUUGUGACAGAAGGGUGAGAAUUUAAACAACAGUAUUAUUAAAAAUACUUAAAAGAUUAAAAAAUCUUUUUGUUCUAAAUACAUGUGUUGAGAGAUAAUUCAAUUUUGUUCAAAAUGAAUGGCUUCAUUUUGAAGUUGUUUAAUUUUUCACCAUCCAAUGACCCGAAUCCCACUGAGCAACCACCUUCUUCUUUCAGUAUAGGGGAAGUGUGAGGCCAAUGUAUGAGGCCGUGACUGUAUCAAAACAAACUUGGUGGAUCUGACUAAACAGGCAAUUAAAAGAGUAUGCAUGUUGUAGCAUUUCCAUUUUUUUCUCCUAGCACUAGCUCUACAAAAAUUUGAAAGCAUUAUGGAGAGGUAGCAUUAAAGUAUUUUGAAGGGCCAGUACUCCUCAGCCAGACUUCUUCACACUUAAUAGCUGUGUGACUUGGGGAAAGUCGCUCCACUUUGUGAUUUUGUUACUUCAUGUGUAACAUGAGGAUCAUAAUAUACUUAACUAACGGGAUAAUUAUAAAGGAUUAAACGACUUAAUUUGUGUCACACAUUUAGAACAGAUUCUGGCAGAGAAUAAUCCCUCAGUAAGGUGAUAACUGUUAUUCUUACGUAUAAAAGCAAAAAACAUUGGCAAUAAAGUAACAGCAUGGGUAUCCUUAACAUUUUGCAGGUAUAGGGUGGCAACGUAACCCCCAUAAUUACGCUGACAUCCAGAAAGAAAAGAUCACUUCUUAGAUACUCUAGAGUAGAAAAAUUAUGACUUUUCGGAAACCCGAGUGAGCUAAUCAUACAAUUAGAUAAAGAACCCAGGAUUUCUAAUUCCUAGUCAGGUGCUGGAGCAUGAUCUGGAUGAAUGAUGAUGAACAAUGGCCUGGCUGUUCAGAGCCUGACCUUCCAGGUCCAAAUGGAGACUCCAAAACAAACAAACAUGAGUUCUUGUUUUUAUUACCCUGGGGUGGAAACUGCUUGAGACUUUGGGGAAUUCAACUCAUUACUUUCAGUCUCUGAAUGUCUCAGGCCUUCUUGAAACUGAGUUCCUGUCAUGAUACAGUGGUUCUCCAUGAAACCUACUUUUUUCACUUUGUAAUCCUUAAAUAUUAGUGGAAGAUUUUUCUCCCAGUAGUUUUUCCUUUUAUUCAACUCCUCCUCCUGUCAUAAACUCCUUUAGACAAUCAAAAGUAGUGUAUUUGAAAAAAAAAAUAAUUAUAACAACUUUUUAAGAUCUACUAAUUCUAUGACAACAAUGCCCAAACUGUUUCUUUUAUAACUACAAUCAUUUGAAAACACUCCUAUGUUACAAUAUACGCUUUUUACACUCUCCAGAAAUCUCCGGCAGGGAGAGUUGACUAAUCUCUCUUCUCUAGAUAACUAUAUACUCAGAAAUUCUGGCAAAUUUUAGGAUCACGUAACUUUAAAUUUGAAAGGUGUCUCUGGGGACUUCACAGAAAAGUGGUUUUUAAAACCAUAUGCUACGCAUUUCUUGGCACUUUAGCAACAGCACGCUGUGGGGCAAAGAGACUGUGGAAAAAGUCUGCCUCAUUUUUUCUUUUUUUUAUUUCCCCUCAACAGGAAUUUUAAAAAUAUAUGUUUAAAUAAAAAUGGUCAGCUCUAUAAUAUUUAUUUUAAAAAACAGAAAGGUUUAUCAGUUGGGAAUAAUGCUUGGGAGAUACUGAUCUAGAGUAAUUUUUCUCUUUUCACCCAGGAGGAAAUGAAUGCCAAUUAAAUAUUUUAAUCUUUAGCUUUUGAGAUUUUGCCACAAAAUUAAAAACUCAAAAGUUGGAGAUCAUUUUUUAAGUGAAGGCAGAUUAGGAGCACAUUCAUCAUUAUGUAGUUUCAGAAUUUUCUUUUCUUUUUUCACAGGCCUGAAGUCCAGUUUCCAGUGCUUCAUGAUGUUGUUACUGAGGAGCACCCAGUAAUGUACAUCAAAAUUCAAUUUUAUAAAGUAAAAGGAAUGAUUAGUCUCUUUGCAGAAAGACAGGGUUCCUAUAAAGAUUGAAGCAGAAUUUCCAAAGGCCACCUGUAAAGCCAGUGACAGGGCAAGCUAAAUAAACAGGAAAGCCAGCAUCCUCUGCCUCAGAAACCAAACAUUCACACAAGGACCGAUUCUCUGGGUAGAGUGUCAUAUCAUUGCUUUAUAAGCAUGUGCAAAAAGGCCUACUGCCUUGAAAAGCUCUGCACUGUUGCAAGGUGGCUCUGUUUUAGGAUCCUGAGGAAAUGGGGGAAGAAGGCCAUGAAGAGGCUUAAAGAUGUCAGUCUUCUUCUGAGUAAGUAUUGGAAGUUACUGCCCAUCCCUAAACAUCCAUGCUGAACUGUUGGAAGACUGAUUCUGAGCACGUUGGAACACCUGGUUUCAGCUGAACUGCUGAAAUUUAAAAACACUGGGCCAACUUGGAAACCGCCUGUCUUUGACCUGAAUUCAGCCUGAUCAGCUGGUGGUUUCCGUGGCUGAAGGAACACUUAUCAAUGGUACAUGUUGACCAUAAGAGGCCCUCUGUCCCUGCAGUCACUAUGGAUGUCCAUUUUCUCCCUUUCAGUGGCAAGUGUGUCCUUUCUGAAGCUGAACAAAAAGUGAGAAACAUAAUCUCCUAAACCAAAAAAUAAAGAAAAAAUAAAAGAAACAACCGCCUCCAAAACAACAAAAGCCCUCAAACUAAAACUAAUUAGUGAUGCUGCUUACUUAGUCUCAACCAGAUUUUUUUUCCCCUGGAAUUCAGCAGAAAAGGUAAGCAAAACAACAAAUUACAUAUAUUUUAAGAAGCUAAUAACAGAAAAAUCAGAAAGUAUGCAUAUAUGGGACAAGGUAAUUUCACUGCGGAUUCAGAAAACCUUUGUUCCUGAAAUGGUACUGAUGAUAUCAUAGCAAGGGUUAUCGAAAAGAUGAUUUUCCAAAUGGAAGAAUAUCAAGAAUACCUGAGGACUAGGGAGAAUUUGAGGACUCAAAAGAAGCAUUUCAGAGUAGGGAAGAUAUUUUCAGGGAGGGAGGCUCUACUUUUAGCCUAGGGUAUCUAUUCUGCUUUGACACUAUGGAGAGCACAUGUCUACAGAUAACAGAGCAGUUUGCCCUCUUUGAUGUGGCAACUAAAGAUCUACUGUUUAGGUGGCUCCAAAUACACCCAGCUUUCUUUUUAUGCUGUAGUUAAUGACAUUUGCCCACUCACAACAACUUAUGUAACAACAGCCGCAGCCUUUGUAUGUCUUAAAAGGAAAACAUUGCCGAUGCAAAGGGUAGAACAUUUCUUUGUCGUUGCCCUACACUGCAGAUACUAAGAAUGUAGACUGGCUUCACGUGCCCUAUCAUUUCUAAGGAUCUUGGUUAUUAGAAUCUGUUAUCUGUUUGAAAGGAAAAAAAAAUAUACCUUUCCUUAAAUAGCCUAUUUCAUUGCUUUCUUCUUAAAUACUAAGGUAAACGCUACAUUGUUGAUCUAGGUCCAUGGGACAGUUUAUGAAUGAAAAUCCCUAAAAUGACAUAUUCUCCUAUUUAAGAAAUAUUGGCCCUCCAAAAAAGAUCAUAAUGCAUGAACAUUUUAAGAAAAUAAAACAUCUAACUUUUUUCUGUUACUCUGAUGUUCUGACAAGCACUAGUAAUGGACAAGGAACAGGGAGAAAUAUUAUUUAGACUUAGGAAAGCUACAAAACUUUAUCCCAUUGGAAAGGUAAAUAUAUCAUGUUUUUUGUUCAGCAAUAACAAUUACAAGAAGAGACUUGUAAUUGACUUGGCUUGUAACUUGGCUGAGACUUUCCCAAGAUUUAAACCACCUAAGUAAUUUUGCUCAAAAUAUUAACUUUCUAAUGUAAUUUCCCCUCUCUUGUUUCUUUCCCUUCCCUCCCUGCACCUCUUCCUCUGUCUGUCUCUGUCUCUCCGUCUCUGUCUGUCUGUCCGUGUCUCUCUUCCCCAGCUCCCUGAACUGACUGGAAUGCUCUGGAAUAAAUUAAAAUAUUUCAAAGAUGUGACUAUCAAAGAAAUGUCCUGUAAUUUAAGCAUUUGUUUGCCUACCCAGUUACCAAAUAUACUAUGACAGUAAAAAGAAUAGCAUAGCAUAGAACUGACAAAAACAGACACAUAGACCAAUGAAGUGAAGAAAUGGCCCAGAAACAAAGCCACCCAGCUACAGCCUCUAAUUCUUGACAGUUUCCAAAAUCAUAACUCAGAGAAAAGUCAGGUUCUUUACCAAGUAGUGCCAGGAAAACUAGGUAUUCACAUGAACAAGAUUGAAAGUAGAUCUCUCAUCUUAUACAAAAAAUCAACUAAAAAUGGAUCAAAGACUUAAAUGUAAGAACUAAAUUUUUAAACAGCUAGAAUAACAAACGGGAAAUGUUUCAGGAAUAGGAGCAGGCAAUGACUUCCUCAAUACCAUGUUAGUACUCAGGAAAUAAUAGCAAGAGUUGAGAAGUUACAAUGUUUCUGCACAGGAAAGGGAGUAAUCAUGAGGGAAGAGACUGCUUAGAGAAUAGGAGGAAAUCUUUGCAACCCAGUCUUCUGACAGAGGAUUAAUAUCCAGAAUAUAUGAAGAAGUCAAACUUAACACUACAGAACAAGUAAACUACUCAACAAAACUGCCAGACAUUUCUUAAAGAAAAUAAAGCUAGUCAAUAAUUAUAUGAAAAAUAUUCAAUAUUUUUAGCCAUCAAGGAAAUAUACAUUGAAACUAUACUGAGAUUCUACCUUGCCCAGUCAGAAUGACUGUCAUCUAGAAAACAGAAAGUAAUAAUUGCUGGUGAGAGUAUAGGGAAAAAGGAAGCCUUAUACAUGAUGGAACUGUAAAUUAGUCCACUUACUAGGAAAAUCAGUAUGGAGGUUACUUAUAAUGUAAAAAUAGAACUAUUGUAGUAUCCAGCGAUAUCACUCCUUGGUGUAUACCCAAAGAAAUUAAAGGGAAAGAAAUUAAAGUCAGCGUACUACAGAAAUAACCUGCAGUCUUAUGCUACAAUUUAUGUAACCUUAUGGAGUUAGCAGACAGGCCUAUCGAUGGAUGAAUGGAAAAAGCAAAUGUGCUAUAUAUACACAAUAGAGUAUUCAGGCAUAGAGAACAAAAUCAUGUCAUUUUAGGAAAAAUGGGUGGAACUGGAGAUCAUGUUGUUAACUGACAUAAACCAAGCAGACUCAAACAAGUAUCACAUUUUGUCUAAUGUAGGAACUAGGUAAAAAACAAAACAAUAUGAAAGUAUAAGGAAAAAGGGGAAGGCUAUCAGGGAGGAAAGGACAGACGGUAAGAGAAGGAAGUGGAGAGUUGUAUGAUCAAAGCAUGUCGCAUGCAUGUAUAAACAUGUCUCAAUGAAAUCCUUAUUAAAAAAUGAAAAAUACCCCCUAUUUUAAUGUCAUUGUUUACUCAUGUAUUUAAGCAUCCAUCAGUGACUGUAAUGAAGGUUGACUUAAAAACUAACAGGGGGCUGGGGAUUUAGUUCAGCGGCAUAAGCGCCUGCCUUGCAAGUGUGCGGUCGUGAGUUUGAUCCUUGGUACCGAUAAAAAAGAAAAAGAAAAAACAAACAAACAAAAAAAACUAACAGUCAGAAUAAGGGGCCAAGACUUUUGGUCUUUGUUUCUUCAGAGAUUUCAUGUCUUGUGUCACAUAAUAUUUUUAGAUUUUUUAUUAUCUAAAAUAACUUACUGGAGUAUCACUGAAAAUAGAACAUGAAACACCUGUCAUUGACUUUUCCUGGUUUAUCAUAAACAAGCUGGAGCAGAAAUAAGUUGCUGAAAUAAGAGCAAAAUGGCACAACUGAUGAUGACAGAAGAACGAGGAGCAAACAUCCACAAAUAAGAAAAGCAAUUUAAAGUACUUUGAGUAGGAAUUUAUUUUAUUCUGAGAAAUAUGAUACAAACAGAUCUGUUAAAAAUAUUAAUUGCUUUGUCUUUUCAUUAUAAUUUUUCUAUUUAAUCGUUACUGGCAUGCCAUGGUUUAAUUUUUUAAAAAAUAGUCUACUGAAAUCCCUACUGCUUUGGGAGCUCAAGAAGUAACUGUUGAUUGCUUUUCUUAAAAAAAGGUCUCUGUACAAAAAUAUCUUUUCAGUUAUCUGGGAGUUGGGAUAUAGCACUCCAGGAAUAUUUGAAAAAGUUGAUUAUUUUAAAGUUAAAAUAGUAAACUGUUUUCUCAGUAUAGAUACUAAAAGUUAUUGCCAUAAUGUAAUUAUGUAUUGUGCCAUUAUGUCUUGAAAGAUUUAAUCAAUUGGUAUUUGAAAAGGUUUUUAGGUAGUUUUUAGAAGAUUACGUUUCUGGAAUUUUUUAUACAGUGGAAUUUCUGAUGCUACAGUAAAUUAAAAAGUUGGAUGAUUUUCAUGUGAUAUCUUAUUUCACUAAUACAGAACAACCUUGAACCACACUAGAGCAAUAAUUACUUAACCUAAAUCAGAGACCAAGCCAGUCCAAACAGCUGUUUUCAUUUUGUUAGGAGAUCCAUUUGAUUUACUCUUUUAGUCAGCUUUCAUUACUGUAGAAGACAAAACUUCACUUGAGUUUUUAACCCUGAAUUCUCUGCCUUGUUUGCUGCCUGCUAUAAAAUUGCAUGGUUGAGCUGCCACAGCCGCUGAGCACACUCCAGAGCUACUGUAGUAUCGUGGGAGGCUCCACUUUGCUCAGAAUAGAGGAGCUUCUUGCAAAGGCAUAUAAUCUGAGACCUGCCCACUGUGGAGGAGAGAGCUAGAGAGAGAGCCAGAGAGAGAGAGAGAGAGAGAGAGAGAGAGAGAGAGAGAGAGAGAGAGAGAGAGAGAAACAGAGAGAGAGACAGACAGACAGACAGAGACAGAGACAGAGAGAGAGAGACAGAGACAGAGAGAGACAGACAGAGAGACAGAGAGAAUCCAAAAAUAAUUAGCAAAAAUUCAUCAUCAGUAUUCUGAUUAGAGGCAUAGUCUUUUGGGGUUGAAACAUGAUUUGAGUUCCUAUAGAAACAGACAUAGUUGUAUCAUUGCUCAGCCAUUUUAUAUGCUGGGAAAAUGAAUGUCAGAAACAC